rnacentral:rRNA from 1 species
AUUGAACGCUGGCGGCAGGCCUAACACAUGCAAGUCGAGCGGAUGAAGGGAGCUUGCUCCUGGAUUCAGCGGCGGACGGGUGUGUAAUGCCUAGGAAUCUGCCUGGUAGUGGGGGAUAACGUCCGGAAACGGGCGCUAAUACCGCAUACGUCCUGCGGGAGCAAGAGGGGGAUCUUCGGACCUCACGCUAUCAGAUGAGCCUAGGUCGGAUUAGCUAGUUGGUGGGGUAAAGGCCUACCAAGGCGACGAUCCGUAACUGGUCUGAGAGGAUGAUCAGUCACACUGGAACUGAGACACGGUCCAGACUCCUACGGGAGGCAGCAGUGGGGAAUAUUGGACAAUGGGCGAAAGCCUGAUCCAGCCAUGCCGCGUGUGUGAAGAAGGUCUUCGGAUUGUAAAGCACUUUAAGUUGGGAGGAAGGGCAGUAAGUUAAUACCUUGCUGUUUUGACGUUACCAACAGAAUAAGCACCGGCUAACUUCGUG